UACAGAGGGUGCGAGCGUUAAUCGGAAUUACUGGGCGUAAAGCGCGCGUAGGCGGCUUUGCAAGUCGGGUGUGAAAUCCCCAGGCUUAACCUGGGAACUGCAUUCGAGACUGCAUUGCUAGAGUAUGGGAGAGGGAAGUGGAAUUUCCGGUGCAGCGGUGAAAUGCGUAGAUAUCGGAAGGAACAUCAGUGGCGAAAGCGACUUCCUGGACCAAUACUGACGCUCAUGUGCGAAAGCGUGGGGAGCAAACAGG
rnacentral:rRNA from 1 species